UCUGUCACAGAGACUAAAAGAUCAAGGGCCCAAUACUGCGCCUUUGUAACCACAGUCCUGAGUCCCAUGAGGGCAGGUAGCCUAAUAGUCAGUCUGGGCUUGAUGUGCUGUCGGUCGUGUCUUCAAUAAAUGCGGUUAGAAACAUAAUGUCGUCCACCUUGCCUAUGUAUGAGUAACGGGAGCUCAGGGAUCGAAAAUGGCCACCGUUCGAGGCAGCACAACGGGUGACGUCACGUGAAAACAACCCACAUAUUGGAAUGUGGACAGUAUUUGAAGAAAAGCAAUCUCACAUUCAUUCAACACGCCAGCAGUACCCAAGGAAGUGGUGCGCCACCCACGCCAGGAGAGUCCAGUGAGUCGGUACACAUUCGCCAGUGACCCCAGAGGAGAAUGCGUAAUCAUAGACUGCGUGGGGAAUGACGGAGGAGAGUAUAAUCCGGGCUAUGCUUCUACAGUACAUACAUUGAACGAUGCUGUUUUGUGUACAGUAGAAUUUAGGACUGGGAACUACAGUGCCGUAAUUUCCGCACUAUAAGGCACACCUAAAAGCCUUUAAUUUUCUCAAAAGCCAACGGUGCGCCUUAUCUGGUGUGCCUUAUAUAUGGAUCAAUGUUGAGCCUUUAGUGCAGCUCCAUCUAAUGGAUGCAUAACGUAACCCCACCCUCUACUGUAGUGUAUUCUAUGCACCUUGUAAUGCAGUGCGCCUUAUAUAUCAAAAAGUUUUAAAAUAGGCCAUUCAUUGAAGGUGCGUCUUAUAACACGGUGCGCUUUAUAGUGCGGAAAAAAUAUGGUACCUUGCACUUAGUGGUGAGCAAGUGAGGCCUCAUGAAACAACACUGAUGCUUUUCUAAUAUUUGUGCUGAAAAAGAUUCCAAGCAUAAAGUCUUUGAAGAUGGUGCGUUUGGUGUUUUUAAGGAAAAUGGUUUGUCAUUUGUGCACUUGUAUGGUUGACUUGACUCGCCAAUCGUCUUUUCCUGUUAAAAUAUUUAAGCCCCCUAUUAAAAAAAAAACUUUAAUAGCACUCUAGAAUGUUGAACCUAAUAAAAACUUACAGUAGUCAAAUAUUAAAAUCAAAAGUAAAGAAUGUGAGUUUCUGGAGCAUCUUUUGCUUCAAUCCAAUCCAGUGGACAUCCAGUGUGUCCGGUUUGGUAAUUUUUGGGGAGAAUACUCCAGACACACGUGAAGCAAUUGGUCACAAAUACUCAAUAUUUACCAUUCUUUGCAGAGAAUAAUUCAUUUAUGCUUGUGUAGUUCUACCGUGUCUCUCCAAAUAUCAGUUACGUAGAGAGUUAUAACACUGUGACACUUAUGCGAUUCUUUCGUCUCUGUGUGUUAAUAUUUUGUUAUUAAAAGAGAAUCAAACAGUUUUGCAAUACAAAAUUGAGGAUUUUCAAAGGUUGGCUGAUCCAAAUCAUUUUGGUGACUUUUUUUUUUUCUCCAGAGAUGAUGGCGCACACAUUUAAAUCACUGCACUUCAAUGUGACCCUGCAUAAAUGGCUAAACCUGGUCGAGACGGUCUCAACGCUCAGAAAGGUCUUCCAAAGGAGUUCGGACCGCAGCGACGACGUCUGUUGCAUCAUCAGCCGGGCGAUCGACAAUCGCCUCCGGGCCACGGACAUGAACUGCGAAGGCCUCCGUCUGGAAGAUGUCCGCUGCAUCUCCUUCCAUGAUUUUUUUUUUUCAAAUCCGUACCAAAAUUUAAAAUGGUCAUAUAAAGCAUUUUUUGGGAAAAACCUAUUAGCCAUGAUUUCUGAUUCCAAAACUAGUUCAUAAAUUUCAUGUGUAAAUAUGAUGAGACGGUUAAGGAUGUUUAUGGUUUCACAGGUAUAACGGCCCUCUGAGGGAAACCGCGAGUACAAUGUGGCCCAUGACAAAAAUGAGUUUGAGACCCCUGGCAUAAAGGUUUAGACUUGGCUUUAGAGUACACAACAUGGUGCCAAAGCACAGCUUCCAAAUGAAGCUCCUCAACUCACUCGGCACCAAGAUACUCUACGGUGGAGGCUAAGCAGUACUUUUAUCCAUCCAUCCAUUUUCUUAGCCGCUCAUCCUCACAAGGGUCGCGGGGAGUGCUGGAGCCUAUCCCAGCUGUCAACGGGCAGGAGGCGGGGUACACCCUGAACUGGUUGCCAGCCAAUUGCAGGGCACAUCGAGACAGACAACAGCCGCACUCACAAUCACAACUUGGGGCAAUUUAGAGUCUCCAAUUAAUGUUGCAUGUUAUUGGAAUGUGGGAGGAAACCGGAGUGCCUGGAGGAAACCCACGCAGGUACGGGGUUUCGAACGCGGGUCCUCAGAAGUGUGAGGUUAAAUAAAGUUCACCCGUAAAGGUCAGGGGUACGUUCAUUCUGAAAUUUCAAGUGAAAGCCGAACAAUGCGAACUUCCAUAACUUCUUUUUUUUUUUUUUUUUGCGACUUUUCAGUCCUAACCUAGUGUUUUGUAUUAUUACAGGAGCCGACAUCUGGUCGAUCUUCACGUGGAGGUGAACGCCGCAAUCUUGGAGCACAACAGCCGGCAUCCUGAGGAUCAGUACCACAUAGACCUGAAAAACACUUUGAGAAAAGACCUUUAUUUAUAGUUGUCUGAUGACUUGCCUGUUUCAUAGCUGUCAGUAUUUGGACUUCAAUCUAUCUAACAAUGCAAACGCAUUACUUCAUAUACUACUGUAUUUAGAUAAGCCUUUUUCCAUAGAUGUAUCUUGUAUGUUUUAUAUUUACCACAUGUAUUUUCC